rnacentral:rRNA from 1 species
CCGACAGGCGUAGGCGAUGGACAACGGGUUGAUAUUCCCGUACCGGCAUUAACACGACCCGACCGAACCCGCUGAUGCUAAGGAACUGAAGCUGUGAUGUCUUCGGACGGAUCGGUGGAUGUUUUGACCCGAGGUGGUAGUAGGUGCAUUGAGGAGUGACGCAGGAGGGUAGUCCAACCGCGGCGAUGGUAGGCGCAAGCUGAUCCGCGGGCAAGGUGGUAGGGCGAGGCAUAGGCAAAUCCGUGUCUCAUGUGCCUGAGAGCCGAGGCGGACCCGUUUAGGGGAAGUGGAUGAUCCCAUGCUGCCGAGAAAAACUUCGCAGUGAGUGUUAGAGCCGCCCGUACCCCAAACCAACACAGG